rnacentral:rRNA from 1 species
CAGUAGCCGCGGGAAUACGAAGGGUGCAAGCGUUACUCGGAAUUACUGGGCGUAAAGCGUGCGUAGGUGGUGGUUUAAGUCCGUUGUGAGAGCCCUGGGCUCAACCUGGGAAUUGCAGUGGAUACUGGAUCACUAGAGUGUGGUAGAGGAUAGUGGAAUUUCCGGUGUAGCAGUGAAAUGCGUAGAGAUCGGAAGGAACAUCUGUGGCGAAGGCGACUAUCUGGGCCAACACUGACACUGAGGCACGAAAGCGUGGGGAGCAAACAGGAUUAGAUACCCCAGUAGUCCCUGUCUCUUAUAC